AGGGUUGUAGUUAAAAAUAACAUUUAAUUUGCAUUUAAAAAGUAUUAACUUUGUUAAUCUUCCUU
rnacentral:tRNA from 1 species